GCGGGUAUGGCGGAAUUGGUAGACGCACCAGAUUUAGGUUCUGGCGUGAAAGCGUGGGGGUUCGAGUCCCUCUACCCGCACCA
rnacentral:tRNA from 3 species